UUUGAAAUCUGGCCCUAGGCCCGAGUUGUAAUUUGCAGAGGAUGCUUUUGGCGAGGUGCCUUCCGAGUUCCCUGGAACGGGACGCCAUAGAGGGUGAGAGCCCCGUCUGGUCGGACACCGAGCCUCUGUAAAGCUCCUUCGACGAGUCGAGUAGUUUGGGAAUGCUGCUCUAAAUGGGAGGUAUAUGUCUUCUAAAGCUAAAUACCGGCCAGAGACCGAUAGCGCACAAGUAGAGUGAUCGAAAGAUGAAAAGCACUUUGAAAAGAGAGUUAAAUAGCACGUGAAAUUGUUGAAAGGGAAGCGUUUAUGACCAGACUUGGCCCGGUUGAUCAUCCAGCGUUCUCGCUGGUGCACUCUGCCGGUCCAGGCCAGCAUCAGUUCGUCGCGGGGGAUAAAGGUUUCGGGAAUGUGGCUCCUCCGGGAGUGUUAUAGCCCGUUGCGUAAUACCCUGUGGUGGACUGAGGUCCGCGCUUCUGCAAGGAUGCUGGCGUAAUGGUCAUCAACGACCCGUCUUGAAACACGGACCAAGGAGUCGUCUUCGUAUGCGAGUGUUCGGGUGUAAAACCCCUACGCGUAAUGAAAGUGAACGCAGGUGAGAGCUUCGGCGCAUCAUCGACCGAUCCUGAUGUUCUCGGAUGGAUUUGAGUAAGAGCAUACGGGGCCGGACCCG
rnacentral:rRNA from 1 species